ensembl:lncRNA
UAUGAGGGUAGAUUAGUGUUAUGAUAUGAGGGUAGGUUUGUGUCAUGAUAUGAGGGGUAGGUUAGUGGUAGACAUGUCUGUAUCUAGUGUUUUGAUAUAAGGGUAGGUUAGUGUUAUGAUAUGAGGGUAGGUUAGUGUUAUGAUAUGAGGGUAGGUUGGUGGUAGACAUGUCUGUAUGUAGUGUUAUGAUAUGAGGGUAGGUUAGUGGUAUGAUAUGAGGGUAGGUUAGUGUUAUGAUAUGAGGGUAGGUUAGUGGUAGACAUGUCUGUAUGUAGUGGUAUGAUAUGAGGGUAGGUUAGUGUUAUGAUAUGAGGGUAGGUUAGUGUUAUGAUAUGAGCGUAGGUUAGUGGUAGACAUGUCUGUAUGUAGUUUUAUGAUAUGAGGGUAGGUUAGUGUUAUGAUAUGAG